UACAGAGGUCUCAACCGUUGUUCGGAUUCAUUGGGCGUAAGGGUGCGUAGGCGGUCGCGCAAGUCGGAUGUGAAAUCUCAGGGCUCAACCCUGAAACUGCAUUCGAUACUGCGUGGCUAGAGUGCUGGAGAGGAGACUGGAAUUUACGGUGUAGCAGUGAAAUGCGUAGAUAUCAGGAGGAACACCGGUGGCGAAGGCGGGUCUCUGGGCAAUAACUGACGCUGAGGAGCGAAAGCGUGGGGGAGCGAACAGGG
rnacentral:rRNA from 1 species